rnacentral:lncRNA from 1 species
UCAAAGCAUGCAUAUCGGAGUCUAUUGAAAUGAAGAUGUCAGAAAUGGUAAAAGUGAAAUUUCAAGAGGUAUUUGGUGCUUUGAAAAAUUUAAGAAUUCAGAAAAAUAAGGACAAAUAAAAUAAGAUUUGGGAAAUAGACCUAAAAAUGUAAAAAGUUGUUUAGGAGAGUCACAAACAUGUAUACAAGAAAAACAGACAUGGAAAACCAAUCCAGA